GUGCCAUAAAAUUACUAAGCUUUCCUCAUGUUUUUGCCUAAGAAUAUGUCUAUUCCUAAACCCCUUCCUGGAGCUUCUGCACUAAUGCUAGUGCAGAGACAGCAACACUGCCACUCUAAAGAGAGAAAUUCUCGGCAGCUAACGUUUUGCAUCAUGUCACUGGAGAUGAUGACAGGUUAUAAUUGUGAAAAAUAAUAUGAAAAUAAAAAUUAUAGCGACUACCACCUUUGAAACCCUGAGGUCCAAAAACUUACAGGGAUCUAUAUUUUUGCCUACAAAGUCUUAUUAAUGUUACUUAGAAUUUUAAAGAGUAAUUAUUGUAAUAAACUUAUAACUGUAUGUCCCCAGGUGCAUUCAUUUGAUGGUACCAAGGAAGCAGCAGCUGCUUUGAUUGACUUGGAUCUUUAUAUAGGAUUUAAUGGUUGCUCACUGAAAACUGAAGCUAAUUUGGAAGUUUUGAAGUCAAUUCCUAGUGAAAAAUUAAUGAUUGAGACAGAUGCACCUUGGUGUGGAGUCAAAAGUACACAUGCUGGAUCAAAAUAUAUAAGAACUGCAUUUCCUACCAAAAAGAAGUGGGAAAGUGGGCACUGCUUAAAAGACAGAAAUGAACCCUGCCAUAUAAUGUGAGUAUUUUGCUUUCAUGGUCUUCAAAA
rnacentral:sRNA from 1 species